ACUUUAAAUGGCACAGCUAGAAUUUGAACCCAGGUCUCAGUGACUGGAAAGCCCAUGCUCUCAUCUUCUACCUCCUAGGAAGAGCUCUUGUCCUCGAGGAAAAAAUCUCUCCUGUACUGUCUCCCAUGGCAUCCACUUAAGGGUACUGGCAGUAGUGACUACCAACACCUUGGCAGAGUGUGUAUGACUUUGGCUGGAUGCAGCUGUGACUAGUUGGCAGUAAAGAAGCAAUUGAAGACCACUGGGCAGCUACAGUAGCAACAAGAUGACCUCUACUUUUUGUGCCAGAGACCUUGACCUUCAAUUACUUACUGUUAAGAAUCCUGGUGAUGCAGCUGUAUGACAAGUCAUUUGCUUCUGAGAAGAAAAGGCUGUGGCCAGCCUGUGAGGCAACAGCACUAAAAAGGAAAUGAAAUCGCAAAAUAAAAGAUCAGUCUUUAUAUAAAAGCAAUUUAGAAACUAUUGCUAGUGACACAAAUAGACCAUAUAUCAUCUCUAUACAUUAAAGGUACUGUAUAUUUAAUCCAAGAAAGAUAAACCUAACAGGCAAAGAUGCAUCUUGGGAGUUCCUGUUGUGGCUCAGUGGUAAUGAACCAACUAAUAUCCAUGAGGA